AUGAAACUGCAGUUCACAAGUUCAACCCCUUCCACGAGUUUUGCACAAGCAGCAGCUGCAGCGCAAGCUGGUGCAUCCGUCGUACAAAUAUUUGUGGGAUGUACUCGGGAUUGGGCAAAGAAUCACUCUGGUGACCCAGAGAUAGAUGAAGCUUUAAAGAAGGGAGAAGAUGCUGGGCUUGCCUUAGUUAGCAUCAAUUACCAUAUCAUUUUUGUGUUUAUCAGCAUAAGCCAAUAUCUGGAAGCAAGGCUUCUUUACUCUGUAGUCCUACAAUUUUUAAUGUUCCUGGUGUCACUUUCCCCAGUAGCUAUGUUUUGUGCUAAAAAGUGA
rnacentral:rRNA from 1 species